CAUUGUAUAAAGUAUACAAAAAAUACAAAAGAAAUAAUAACAUCAGCCAAAGCAUUCAUCCAGCAUAUUUCCAUCAUUUCUGAACACUCUGAUCCAAUGGAUUUACCAUCUUCUUAGUGUACAAUUUCAAUAUUUCCUAAGGAAUAUUAUUUGUAGAAGACAAUUCUAAUGACUCCCAGCUUCAUCGACUGGAAGGACCACUGUAUUCUCCACAUUGUGAUUUACUUAUGAUGAAAAUGUUUAAAUAAACUACAGUAAUAAAAA